rnacentral:rRNA from 1 species
AUUGAACGCUGGCGGAAUGCUUUACACAUGCAAGUCGAGCGGCAGCGCGGGGCAACCUGGCGGCGAGCGGCGAACGGGUGAGUAACAUAUCGGAACGUACCCCGUCGUGGGGGAUAACUACCCGAAAGGGUGGCUAAUACCGCAUACGACCUGAGGGUGAACGGGGGGGAUUGCAACACCUCUCGCGCUGGGAGCGGCCGAUAUCGGAUUAGCUUGUUGGGGAGGUAAAGGCUCACCACGGCGACGAGCCGUAGCUGGUCUGAGAGGACGACCAGCCACACUGGAACUGAGACACGGUCCAGGCUCCUACGGGAGGCAGCAGUGGGGAAUUUUGGACAAUGGGGGUAACCCUGAUCCAGCCAUGCCGCGUGAGUGAAGAAGGCCUUCGGGUUGUAAAGCUCUUUCGGCAGGAACGAAACGGCAGGCUCUAACAUAGCCUGUCAAUGACGGUACCUGAAGAAGAAGCACCGGCUAACUACGUGCCAGCCGCCGCUGUAA